rnacentral:rRNA from 1 species
AAUAUUGGAAAAGGGGGAGAACCCUGAUCCAGCCAUGCCGCGUGUGUGAAGAAGGACAUAGAUUUGUAAAGCACUUUAAGGUGAGAGAAAGAGUUGUAGACUAAUACCUUGCAAUUUUGACGAUACCAACAGAAUAAGCACCGGAUAACUUCGUGCCAGCCGCCGCGGUAAUACGAAGGGUGCAAUCGUUAAUCGGAAUUACUGGGCGUAAAGCGCGCGUAAGUGGUUCGUUAAGUUGGAAGUGAAAGCCCCGGGCUUAACCUGGGAAUUGCUUUCAAAACUGACGAGCUAGAGUACGGUAGAGGGUAGUGGAAUUUCCUGUGUAGCGGUGAAAUGCGUAGAUAUAGGAAGGAACAUCAGUGGCGAAGGCGACUACCUGGACUGAUACUGACACUGAGGUGCGAAAGCGUGGGGAGCAAACAGG